rnacentral:rRNA from 1 species
UACGGGGGGAGCAAGCGUUGUUCGGAUUUACUGGGCGUAAAGGGCGCGUAGGCGGUCAGCACAAGUCAGUUGUGAAAUCUCCGGGCUUAACUCGGAAAGGUCAACUGAUACUGUGCGACUAGAGUGCGGAAGGGGCAACUGGAAUUCUCGGUGUAGCGGUGAAAUGCGUAGAUAUCGAGAGGAACACCUGCGGCGAAGGCGGGUUGCUGGGCCGACACUGACGCUGAGGCACGAAAGCGUGGGGAGCAAACAGG